rnacentral:tRNA from 1 species
AGGCGAUUAGCUCAACCGGGAGAGCGCUUCUCUUACAAGGAAGAGGUCAUCCGUUCGAUCCGGAUAUCGCCUACCA